GCCAUUUUCCCUCUGACAAAUUGUAGGGCAAAUUGUUCUCGAAAAAGUCUGUCGGAGGAGAAGGUGUGAUGAUUAAACGGCCGGUGUAAAUUUGGGGGCCAUAAAUCCUCUUAUUGCAUUAAUGGGAUUUAUUUGCAGCAACCGCCAUUAAGGACCCAAAGAAAUAAUAAUAAACGAGCCCGGGGCUGCACCUGUUUCAGGCUCGGCUACUUUGCUUCUCAUAAUCCUGGACAUCUGUCUGCAAGAGCUCUGUCCUGCUGGGAUGUUCAGACACCAGGUGCUACUGUGUUUCCUGCUCCCAACAUCCUUCUGCUGGGCAAGUACCUUCACAUCAUCUUGGCUUUAACCAGCACUCUAUUAGAUAAGAUGGCCCACAUGACAUCACUGCUUUGUACUACUUUUAUAUUUCCAGAGCCUCUCAAAGGUGAAUGCCCUCAUUCUUAAUUCUACCACUUGUGAUUUUGUGGAUGUAGACCUCUUCUCUGGACAAGGCUUCCUGCUUUCCCUCCUUAGGUCUUGAUUUUCCUUCUGCUAUUUUUCUCAUCAUCUCUCUUUUGUAGUCUUCCUUCCAUUUGGGAACAGUUUAUCUCCACGAUUUAUUACCACAUCUUCAUUCUUUCACUGUGGACAGGACUUGAAGCUUGUCUCCUGAUUGCUGUAGUGUUCUGCCUCCUUUCCUUUAAACCACAGAUACCUGACUGUAGAAGUAUAAUUCUGCACAGCACUUUCUCACUUACUUCCUUUAGUGGCAAAUUUAAAAGCUGCCUCCUAAUCAAGUUUGCCCUCUUGUUCCA
rnacentral:lncRNA from 1 species